CAGUCGCCACGGGAAUACGAAGGGUGCAAGCGUUACUCGGAAUUACUGGGCGUAAAGCGUGCGUAGGUGGUGGUUUAAGUCCGUUGUGAAAGCCCUGGGCUUAACCUGGGAAUUGCAGUGGAUACUGGGUCACUAGAGUGUGGUAGAGGAUAGUGGAAUUUCCGGUGUAGCAGUGAAAUGCGUAGAGAUCGGAAGGAACAUCUGUGGCGAAGGCGAUUAUCUGGGCCAACACUGACACUGAUGCACGAAAGCGUGGGGAGCAAACAGGAUUAGAUACCCCAGUAGUCCCUGUCUCUUAUAC
rnacentral:rRNA from 1 species